CCCCGUCGCUAGGGGUGUCCCGGAAGGGACUGAGACGGCCGUGGUCCCGGCCAACCCUUGGAACCUGAACCGGUUCGUACCGGCGGAGGGAAGCGGCCCGGGAGGCUU
rnacentral:ncRNA from 2 species